GCGGGUGUAGUUCAAUGGUAGAACACCAGCCUUCCAAGCUGGUUGUGUGAGUUCGAUUCUCAUCACCCGCUCCA
rnacentral:tRNA from 2 species